GGACAGAUGGCCGAGUGGUUAUGGCGUGUGACUCAAGUUGUUGCUUGCUCGACCCAGUCGAGAGCAUUCUCAUGGGCUUUGCCCGCGGGGGUUCGAAUCCCCCUCUGUUCA